GCGUGCUCGAUCCUGUCAGAUCCUGUCUAGUGUCUGUAUUCGGUCGCAGUGUUAACCGAAAUUUUCAACGGUAAAUCGCGUGUGCUCGUGAAAAAGGAACAUCCAGCGGUUGGCCUCAGGAUUCUGAAUGCGUUCCUGGUGUUGGACACAUCCGCCGGGUGUUUGCUGUAAAACAACGAAAGUUUCAGGGAACAUUUUGCCUAAGGGGUGAACUUCACGCUCGAUUUGGACGAGGAAAGCCGCAACAGAAUCACACGACAAGAUCGCCAAGAAGUUGGCUUUUCUACAUGGACGAUCGUGGAUGGCGUGUGGCCCAAUUUGUCCUGCCGGGGAGUACCAGUCCGGCCGCAAUCAUCAGACAAUAGAGGAACAUCAUCGCACAUGGGUCAGAUGAUCACCAAGGGAACAUUCCCAACACAACCGGCACUAACGGAACCAGCAAAUCAAUCCGGAGUCUCCAGUCGACAAAAAAGAACCGGUGGUCAGUUUAAACGCACCAUGACAUCAUCCAUCCGAGUAGAAACAAGAAUCGGUCGCGAUCGAGAUCGAAAGCGAAAGAAAGCGGCUUCGUGUUGGUUUUUGAAAAACUCUGGAGGAGACAUUAUCAGUUAACAAUUGAAAAAAAAAA